CCUACGGGCGGCAGCAGUGAGGAAUAUUGGUCAAUGGGCGGGAGCCUGAACCAGCCAAGUCGCGUGAGGGAAGACGGUCCUAUGGAUUGUAAACCUCUUUAGGCGGGGAGCAAUGCCGGGCACGCGUGCCCGGAGGGAGAGUACCCGCAGAAUAAGCAUCGGCUAACUCCGUGCCAGCAGCCGCGGUAAUACGGAGGAUGCGAGCGUUAUCCGGAUUUAGUGGGUUUAAAGGGUGCGUAGGCGGAUUUUUAAGUCAGCGGUAAAAUGUCCGGGCUCAACCCGGGCCGGCCGUUGAAACUGGGGAUCUUGAGUGGGCGAGAAGUAUGCGGAAUGCGUGGUGGAGCGGUGAAAUGCAUAGAGAUCACGCAGAACUCCGAUUGCGAAGGCAGCAUACCGGCGCCCGACUGACGCUGAGGCACGAAAGCGUGGGGAUCGAACAGGAUUAGAUACCCUGGUAGUC
rnacentral:rRNA from 1 species